rnacentral:misc_RNA from 1 species
UCCCAUGUAUAGUGGCUGAUUUUGAGUCUGCCUCUCCUUCACUCGCGACUUACUUUGCUGGCCCAGCACUGUCUCUCUCUGUGUUGUCUCCUCCCUUCUCUCUCGCUCUCUUGCGCUAAUAGCGGGUGUAGAGGAAGGGAAGGCUGGGGCGUGACUGGCAACCUGCGUGUAUGUGUGUGCCUCUCUCUCGUCGUUCUUAUCUUUCCUCCACCCUUUUUUUCCCUACCCCUCUCGGUCUGUCUGUAUGCCUGUGUGCCUGCGUGAGCGCGCGUUUUUUUUAAUUUGUCUUUUUUUUACCUCACGGAAGCAGCGCUGCUCUGAGGCACUCUGUCGACCUCGUCCGGCAACCCAAAAAGGAUGGAUCAACUCAGCUCCCUCUACGUCCGCAUGGCGAGCGGGGCGCACAGCCAAAUACACAACCCCAGCUCCGUCAUGGGCUUUGUGGACCAGAUGCAGAGUCGCAUGGAGAAGAGCUCGGCGCCCCGCAAGAACUAUCUCAUCGACUCCUCCACCCCACACAGCGACACCGUCAUUGCGGAGUCGUCGGCGCUGAAGCCCAGCGUGGGGUGGGUGACACUGCAGGUAACAGAGGGUAUUCGCCGCGGGAUCCACGAAUGGGGCAUCAAGAUCGAGCACCACGGCGAGAGCAACGAUGGCAGCGGGCUCAUGCUCGGCAUCGUGCCAAAGAACUUCACCAAGUACGACACAUUUAUUUCGCAGGGCGGCGGCUGGUGCCUCAGCCGGGCCGGAAAGUUUUACGGCCACUGGCGUCGCACCGACAGCGGCGGCGGCGUGCUGACUUUUGGCACCGGCGACCGCGUCGUCCUCACCCUCGACUACGACGCCGCCGUCAUGACCGUGCGGGUGGGUGACAAGACGGUCGUCGGCGAGCUCAGCGGGCUGACGAUGGAGGUGUUUCCCGCCAUCUCGCUCCACUACCGGCACCAGCACGUUCGCUUCGACCACCACGCCGUCCGCGAAACGGCCGAGCAGCACCUGCCGUGGCUGCAGCGCCAGGCCUUCCCGUUUGCACCGGCGUUCUUGCCGCUUAGCUUUUCGGAGGUGCAGCGGCUGCCGCUGAACUCGUACCUCUUCAGCAACCUCUUUCAACACCACACGUCGCUGGAGUGGAGCAGCGCGAUGGCCGACACCGCGGGCGGCGGCGACGCUGGCCACCCGGCCAUCUCCGCCCCUGACGCUUCUGGCAAAAAACGCAACGCGGCAGCAUCACUGGCGUCCUCCCCGGACGCCCUUGCCGCUGCACGGCUUGCCGAACAGCGAGCAAUGCGCUUGUACACGUCCUCGGAAGCAGCCGCGGCGCGCCUAACAGUGCUGUCACGCGCCUUCGCGGCGGUUCGCCGGUACGCUGCGGUGGUGCCUGGGAAAAGCCGUUUUCUUGCGCCUCACGUGACAGCGGAGUACCUUCGGCAGCGCCUGUACUCGGCGGCGCGCGAGCCGAGUCUCGGCAGCGGCGGUGGAUCAGCCCUCACGACCUCAGGAGGCCUCUCGAGCAGUGGCGCCAGCGCCUUCCGCUUCGCUGACAGUGCUGGCUACGACGCCACGCUGAACUGCGGCGCCGUCAUUGUCGUGCACUUGUUUGUUCGCGCCGUGUCGAGCGGGCAGGAGGUGGCCGUCUCACUCGUGCACAGCUUCCGCGACUACCUGCUGUCCCUGCCGAUCUUCUCCCUGGUGGAGUACGACGGGUGCGCCAGUGGCAAUGGCUGCAGUGGCGGCGGUGGCGGUGCGCGUGGUUCCCCUUUCAGUGGAGGCAACCAUGGCGGUGUCGGAGGUGCGCGCUCGGCGCUGGCGCCGGACACGGUGCAGCUUGCCGUGGACCACAUAGUGAGGCUGGUGGAAUCUGCCCUCAAAGUGGCUGAAGCAGCACCUACCACAGCGGCGCCAAACUCAAAUGGCAUUAGUUCAGGCUCAUCAGCUGGCAAGCGUAAAGACGGCGGCGGUGACGGCCCGGCUGUUACGCCGCUGACGUCGGCGCUGCUCGAGGUGGCGGUGGUGCUGGCCCUGCAACGUGGCCUCGUGAGUGAAGUGCUGCGCGUGUCGCGGUACCUCUUACGCGUGCCAUCCGGUAUCUUCUCGCCACCUCUGGUGCAUUGGUUGAACCGGCAUGCUGCCGGCCUCACGCCGCAGCAGGCCUUGCCAGACGUUGGACGAGCACUGAAGCGCGCAUGCGAAGACCCCUCUGCUUUCAUAGCCACGCCAGUGGACCCCGUGACGAGGGUGCUAUCGGUGGCCUACGGCAUCGGUGCUACGCUGUUUGUGCACACGGCAGACGGACUGACCAAGUACGGCCCCUCCGCCGCCACACCAUACGUUCUCGUGGUCGAGACGAGGCAGCCAACGGCGUACUGCGUUGGUGCAGCCUCGUCCAGCUUGGCGGUGACGCACACCCGUGUACUGCUGCUGACAGACCUCAUGGCAUCUGCCGAGGUGGCGCUGGUUGUUUAUGGGCUCCAGCUUGACACGCACCAAGUCCUGCGCUGGGCAGAUAUGCACGGCAGCUGGCCCUGCACGCUUAACGCGCACCCCCAGCUCGUGAGCACGACAGAGGAUCGCGUCCUUGUCGUCUACGAAGACCACCAGCAGCAGGCGCCUUCAGCGCGUGUGCUGAACGGUGCAGCGGCAGCAGCCGGCACGCCGGCGAGCGCAGCGGCGAACGGCGGGGUGGUCCGCUCCACGGCUGGUCAGAGUCUCUCCGCUGCAGCCGCGACAGCGACCUCGGCAGAGUGGACCGUUAUGAUGCACUGCUACAACGCCGCAACGGCUUCUUCGCUCACUGCGGCGCCGCUCUGGGCACGUGCGUUGCACCCCGCCGCGGCCCCGGCGGGGCUCUGCCUGAACCGAUGCCUUGCGCUGCGCAAGCCCAGCCUUGUUGAUCUGGGCAGCCCAGAGGAGCACUUGACCGUGGCGGGCGGGCAGGUGACGGUGGAGCUAUGGGUGCAGUUCCUCGACAAGGAAGACGCGGCAACGCUAUACCAACACGGCGACCGCAGCACAAGCGGCGAAGUCUUUAUUGAGCUGAUCAAGUCGGAAGGUGCGUACUGCAUCCGCGGCGGCUAUCGGCACGAGAUGCGCGGCUCGUGUCUUGUCUCGGCGCCGCUGCCGCCCACGGCGGAGAGCCGGCCCUUCCACAUCGGCCUCGUCUUCAACGGGCGAUGGCGGCUCCUGUUUGAUGGUGAGGAAGUGGCCGGCAACCGCCAGGGUCCACACGUGUCACUCGACUCACCAAAGCAGCGGUGGACGGUGGGGGCGAACUGCACGUGCUUGCUGACGGGCUUGCGCGUGUGGCGGCUGGGUCGCACGGCUCGCGAGAUUAGUCGUGACUACCGCCGCUCCCUCGUCGGCGACGAGCCGGGGCUUGUGGUGCAGCUCUUCUUCAACGAGAAGAGCGGAAACGUCGUCUUCAACUACGUGCACAACGUCAAGGCAUGCCACGCCGUCUGCAUCGGGGCCGUGGCCCACAAAGCGUGCGAUACGCACCCGUGGCGCAGCUACGGCUCAGGCGCGCUUGGCGGUAGCAGCGCUGCUGCGGCAAGUGUGUCCGCUGCAUCAACAGUAACAGCAUCAGGUGCGGCUGCGCCGGCGGCCGCGUCGUCACCGGACGUCACACCGGUGUGCGCGCGGCUGCACGAGUGGCGCAAUCUCACCAUCAGCACCUGCUGCGCCACGCGACACGCGCUCAUUGUCAGGACGCCCAUCAGCGAUGAUGGCCCGUAUGCGCUUAGGGAGGGCGGCCACGUGCUCAUGUUCUUCGACCUCGCUGCCGGCGUCGCGCAUCACUCGCUCUUCUUCCUGACAAGCCGCAGCCCGGUGCGACAUAUGAUGCGCGCCGACCCGCAGGGGAGGCUGUGGGAGCUGUUCGAGGUGGAUGUCGGUCUUGUGAAGGGCGAGCAGGAGGCGUCCUACCUUCUAUCCCUGCUCGGCAACCCCGGGGCAGCGCCGCAGCGACCGCGCGACCGGGUGCUCGCCGUGGCACCCCUGCCUCUCAUGGAGGAUGAAGAGGGCCUGGACAACCUCAGCACACUGGCGAACGAGGGAGGGGACGAGGAUGGCGACGGCGCAGAGGAAGGGGAGCCGCGCGACUCGUUGGGCUCGACGACGACGAGCGAGAUCAACCCUGUCGGCAUGGAUCGCAACACGGCAGAUUCUCAGAGAUCUAGCGAGGCGGCUGCGUCACAGGCCACCCAGACCCUCUCACGCUUGUCGUCCUUCACGGCACUCGUCGCACAGCCUUCGUCGGUGGUUACCUACGGCACGGUGGCGUUGUGGCUUCUGAAGCUUCUGGCCCUCCACGCCGAGGCGGAGCCCGGCGUCGAUCAGACACUCUUCUCUCCCCUCGCGGACGAUGUGGGGAGUCGAUGCGUAACGGAGGUGCGGCUCAUCUUGGGCGAGCACUUUCGCGUUGUCAAAUCGAACAACGCGCGUCGCGCCGUCGCGCUGAAGAGCUCCGUGUCGUGGGUGGUGGUGGCGGCAGCGCUGCGCGUCUUACUGCGGCUGGUGCGCCGCGCGCGGGCCUUCGGCCUCCACCCCACGCCGCUGGGGCUGACAGUGGUGAGAGAGGGCACGGAGCGCGACGGUGGCGACGCGGCCGAUGAAUCGCAGAGCUCGCCAACGCACGUCUCCAAGGCCACAAUGACGCUGCUACUGCGCGAGCUUCACGCGUCUUCGCUACGACGACGCGCCAGUGCGUCGGUGGUGCGGUCGCGGCGGUCGGCGAUUGGGCACCCAGGCAGUAGUAGUGCAGACGACGGCGACGGCUUCUCAACAGACAGCUUCACGCUGCUAGGCCUCCUCGGCGACAUCAUCAACGAGGAUGGGCUCACACUCUCGCCGGAUGUCGUGACCCUCGCCCGCAUCAUCACCAUCGAGGGCGUCGAGCUAUUCUUGCCCGACGUCCGCCAUCGCGCGCAUCUCCUGAGGGACCUGCUUCGCGCCUCCUCUGGCGCCUCCUCGCCUCGCGCCUCCACGGCCGCCGGCGGUGCCGCUGUUGCCUCACCGCCUUCCGUCACCGCGGAGGAGCGAGUGCCGGCUAUGGAAGUGCUGCUUGACGCAGUGGCGCAGAGUUUCACCACUGUGCUCGCCGCGGCGCCUCUGCUCGGCGUGGAUGACGACAGUGCGGGGCCGGGCAGCGCGGCAUCCCUCACGGAGCUCUGUGGCACCCUUCGCACGCUUCUCGAGGAGUCGUCUGUGCAGUGGCAGCGUCUGUGGGAUGCGAGCACCGCGAUACGGUCCGUCCGCAAGUUUGCGUCCUUUGCGACAUCCCUGUCGGAGGCCAUCGCCUCGCUGCAACUGCUGCUGCUCAGCGCCUGUCAGGGCUCGCGGUGGGAAGUGGCGCUGACGCUGAUGUACGCCAGUGGCGGUGGCAGUGCAGCAAACCGCGUCGCCGACGCCACCCGCGUCCGCGACGGGGGUGGCCAGGGUGACAGUAGCAAUUCCGGCAACGGUGCGACAGCGAACGGGGUCGCUGGAAGCGGCGUCGGCGGUGUGAACGGCGGCGGCGCAGGUGUUGGCGGUCCGGACAACGUUGCGGCCGCUGCGCUCGAUCUUCAGCGACUAUGCUUCUCGCAGGCCGCCGCCUACCACCCUUGCGUGCGGGCCUACUACAGCGCGCUUUUUGAUGGCACCGAAGUCUGCCUAAGCCUUUGCGUGCAACAGCCGGCGCAGCAGCCGUCGACAGGCAGUACCUCGAAGACUGCAGAGCGGGGCGGCGGCGACAGCGGGGCGCCGCUGUCAGCGAUGCUGUCAAGCCUGGCCCCAACGUUCGUGAACGCUCCACUGCACACGGCCUUGAGCGCUAUCCCGCUGGUCCUCGCUGCCGAGGACGCGGAGUGGUUCCUCAAACGCCUCGAGCACCUGCUUAUGCUGUGCGAGACGCUGCUGGAGCGGGUGGAGUUGCUGACGAGACCCAACAGCGGCACUGACAUCUUCACCAGCACCACGAACGCCAGCAGCCCGGUCCUUCCUGGCAGUGGCAGCGCCAUCUCUGCGCGACGGCUCGUGUGCUCGCUGCGCGAGGCGCUCUUCUACGCCUCUGUGUGGGUCGCAGCAUUUCUCUUCAACAGCACGGCCGUGUCCUCCGCCAGCGUCAAGGCCGACGCGGUGCGGCGCCGACUUGGCCUCUUGUCCGUCACAACAACACCAACGACGCAGCGGCAAACGGCGCAGCUCACUGGCCACGCACCGUCUGUGGCAACAGCGACGAGCAGCACGACAGGGGCGCCACCGUCCAGCAGCACCGCUGACGACGCAGCCUACACCGCAGUGGGCGAGGAGCUCGCCCGCGUCUGGGAGCACCCGCUUCUGGAGGGCGGUCUCUGGCCCGGCACCGUCUCGAUAGCAGCGGCUGCGCCUCAGCACCGAGCGCAGUUCGUUUCGCAGCUGAUCAAGAACACGGCGUACUGGACUGCCAAGCAAACGAUGCUGGAUCCUCUGGCCUCGAAGUCACAUCCUGCCAUGGGCCCUCUCAUCACCGCCAUGGCGGCGGCGGCGUUGCACCUCAGUGCCGUACCACUGCAGCACCUUCCGCCGACGCAAGUGGAGGAGUUUAUGUGCGCAGUCAUGCGAAAGCUCUCGCGGCCAAUUCGCACCGAGUUGCUAAGCCGACGCGAGGAGGGCGAAGACGAUGGCAGCAGUGGACCUCCGUCACCCUCCUCGUCCUCGCCUCCUUCAUUGAGUCGGCCAGAGUCGCUGAGGCAGACGCUGACAGAGCUGCAGCGUCGCUGCGAGGUGCUACUGCAGGCACGGACAUGCACCGAGCUGUGGGCAGUGGAGGACGCCCUGUUUUGUAUUCCGACUGAGCGUGUCGCCGCUGGUCGCUCGCUGGGGUCUGGGAGGGCUGCAUGGACUUACCCCCCGCUCCUUCCGGGAGCCUCGGCACCGUCCUCGUCGGCGCCGAUGGCACCGAGCGCCUUGGGUGCACUGCACUCUGCAUGGAGCUCGUACCAGCUACGGCGAAUGCGCUUCCGCGCGCACGCCGCCUCGCACCCGAGCUGGACGCUGCAGGAGGCCACGCAGCUCGUCACGAGCGUGGUACUCUCUCGCCAGAUUACGGCGGAGCUUCUGCGCGCCGCUCUGCAACAGCGCGAGGAGCUGGCUGCGUUGAGGCGUACAGGCAUCGAGCACAUCUUCCGGCUCGUGCAGCGGGCCCCGCACAGCGCCGAGAGCGCCGCUCAGCUGCUCAGCGCACAGGGUCGCGGCGCGCACACGCACUAUGAAGAGGGCAUCGGCGGCUGUGGCAGCGCCCACGUUGACCACAUUCGCCGCACCCUCUUCGACCUGCUGCGCUGGUCAAUGGAAGAAAUGCCGACCCAGCUGGGCGCUAGCGGCAGUGCCACGCGCGAUGGUGGCAGUGCGCCACUCUCCAUGACCAGCACGGCAACGGUGCUGUGCGGUCUUCUCGACCGCAGCUGGCGGCCGCGUGACUUUGCAUUCUUUGUGCAGCUGCGGGUGGUGCCGACCAUGAUGGAGACGUACGUAACCCUCUUCGUGCCCGUCAAGCGCGCCGACGACGAGGAAGCGGCAGAAGUGACGUCAGGCAUGCGCAGCAGCGGCGACACGUUUGGUCUGCGACGACCCUCUACCGUCGCAGUCGCAAUGACGGCAAGCAACAGCAGUGCUAGUCCGACAGAUGAUGGUGCGACGGCGACUGAUUCGCGCGCUGGGUCGGUGGAGAUGCGCCACGUCAACCUCGCAGAGCGGCAGAAUCGCGAUAAGGUUAUCGCUGCUCAGCAGGCGCGUCGCACGAGCAAGAGCGCGCUGAUGACGGCCUUCACGCUGAAUCGGGCCGGCGGUACCGGUGGCGGCGGUGGUGGACCGCACGGCUCUGCCGGGCUCAUGAGUGGCGGCACCGGCGACGCCGCCCUGCAGCACACUGCCGUGGAGGCAAUGCAGGCGAAGGUGUGGCAGUGCUUCAAAAGUUUGGCUCUCCAGUCGACGGCGAUGCUGACGCCCGAGCGCAUUGCAAGUUUGUCGCGAGUAGAACAGACCUCCGUCAUGACGUUCUUAGCUGACAUGCUUGGCGCGAUGGAGACGGAGCUGCGGCUGUGCCGGGACAUGCUGUCGCGAGCCGUGAAAGACACGCCAACGCUGCUAGCGCAGGCGAGCGACGCUGCCGUGCUGGAGCCGCUGGUGACGGUGCAGGACCAGGUAGACCUGCUGCUGAGUUUCCUGUCCGUCGUGAGUGGGACGCUCUGCUCGGCCUCGUUGUCCGUCAGCGUCUCUGCCCCGGUGGGCCACACCACAGCAGGCAGAGCACCAAACGCACGAAACACCAGCGGCGACUGUAGUCUUAGCGCCCGCGACGGCACGGCACUCUUUCUCAGCUGCACCUUGAGCACGAUGUGCGCCACCAUCGCAGAGACUCUGCUUGAGCUCGUCUUCUUGGACAUGUACCACGCGCGCGCGGUGAGCGCCGACGCCGGCGUGGGGUGCGUCGUGCGAGACGCCGCGGCGUGCGCCAGGGUCGCGGCGCUGCUGCUGUGUCGGUGUCAGCCGUCUGCUGUCCGCGGCAUCACCGUUGCACCGGGUGUGUGGCAAGAAAUGUACGAGUCGCCGGCGUUCGCGAAGAUGUCGUUGCCCGCCUCCUCGCCUCUGAACGGCGGCCAUCCGUGCAUGCAGAGAUGGCUAGACCUCAGUGUGUACGCCUUGGCCACGACCGGGAUGAGUCGCACGACUCAGCACGUACUGCUGGCCUUCCGCCGACUUCUGCAUCAGCCAGCGUGGGCCGCGGAGUUGCGCGGCUUCGCGUCAUCCUACCAGGAUGUUGUCCACGCUUACGCAGCGUCCGUGCUUAGCAGUCGCAGCGGUGGGGGCGAGAUGGUUGGCGCAGCAGGUAAACCGACAUUGACCGGCGCAGACGACGGUGCUGCAGGCACGAGCAGCAACUUCUCCACUAAUACCCCGGCCCGGGGCCGCGAGGUGCAUGCUGUCCACCUGUACGUGUGGUCGGCGAUACUGGGUGGUCAGCUGCUGGUCCCCCCGACCUCGCCCGGAGCGUCCGUUACCUUCCUGGACGAGAAGGACGGCUAUCAGGCCGUCACUGCGUGUGUGGUGGACGUGGAGGCAAUGGCGCCGACGUCGGUGGGGCCCGGUGGCAUGCCGACCAAGGCCGGCACGCCGUCCUCAGCCCAGUGCGGGCGGCCCAUUCGCGGCUCCAGCCACUUCUUACUCAGGACGGCGGCUACCGCCGCUGAGGGCGAGAAGUUGCGCGGGGUGGUUGUCGUACCGACGGAUGCAACAGGGCACAGCGGGAAUAGAGGGGAGGUGCAGCUGUCGCCAAACCAGCUCUUCUUGCCAGCCUGGGAGAACGCCAUCGUGGUGCCAUCGUACGCGGGGCUGGUCGAGGACUUCCUCGCCCCAGCGCUCCGCCUCUGUGUACCGCUGUUGAAUGAAAAGCUGGACACGGCCGCCGGCUUCACAGGAUUCGAGCUGACCUACUUCAUUACUCUCUUCCACCUCACAGCCGGCGUGGCGCGCGCGCGGCCGGAUCUGGGGCGGCAGCUCAUACAGUGCGGCGCGAUGAAGCCCAUUCGACAGUACGCACUGCAGGGCGUGGUGCGGCUUCCAUUCCCGUUGAAGGCGCUCAGAGAGUUCGGCGCCUUGGUGGCGGUGCGGGCUGCCGAGGCCACAGCUGAUCGCAUCUGCGCCCCGCCGGACAACACAGACAAUGCGGGCGGCUUGGCGAGCAGCGUCGCCGGUGCGGCCGCAACAGGCGGAGCAGGGGCGCCCUCGCUCGCUGCUGCCCUGGCGGCUGUCUCCGCCACUGAAAUCAGUCGUGCCAGCGCCGGGUCGCGAUCCCCGUUCGGCUCGCCCGUGUCCACGCAACACCAGACGUUGCCCGGAGUGAGCGAGGCUCUGCUGGAGAGCCUCCGCAGCGUGUCGCCCGGGCCCUCGGUAGGAUACCCGGCCACCUUCCUCUCUGGCUUUCCCCAAUCCAGCGCCACCGCCGCAUCCUCGAGCGGCUUCCUGCGGGACUCGAACGAGUACGGCCUCUCACGUCUCGCGCGCAGCUUGGGAGUGUUUGGCGGUGCCUACGGUGGGGCCGCGAUUAGCGGCGCCCCCUCGCAGCAGCCGAUGCGGACGACAUGCGCGUCGGUGGCAAACAUCCUCCGCGGUGGCUCGAGUCUUACCACUACGACGGCGCGCAUCCCACCGCGCACGGAGGUGGGAAGCGGGGCACCGAUGUUCCUGUCCUUUCCCAUGUGGCCUGCACACGAUGUGCCACCUUGUGGGGCUGCGCGGAGUGGUGUUGCGGGGCAGCCGUCCGUGCCGGCUGCUGUUGAGAUCACACCGUCACGCGCCGGCGUGCACUUCCCCGUCUGGGAGGACGGCUUCGCGAUCGAGCUGGCGGUGCUGCUUAGUGACGGCGAUAUGUACCCCGCCAUGGGUGACGCGCUGAGUGUGCCGUGCUCGUGGCCGAAGCCGCAGCUGGCCGCCGCCGGCGGCAACACAGCGCUGGAGUUUCCGCUCUUGACGCUGUACACGUCCGCAGACGGCGGCAGCAGUGGAGCGGUGGCGGCGGCGUCAUCCGAUGCGGGCCUCUUUCCUUUUCUGCAGUUGAGUGUCCAAGAGAGCAGCCUCAACGUCGUCGUGCGCCUCCCUCCCUCCACCGUCGGCGCACCAGACGGCAAGGAGGCGCUGCGCUGCAGCGCGAGGCGCACGCUGCGCCGCGAGGACUGGUACCACUGCAUGCAUGUUUCCGUCAUGUGCAACGCACAGAGCCUGGCUCUCUCCCGCAACGGCGAGAUGACGUCUGUGGAGUGGGGUGGCGCGGCUGGUGUCGGUCGGUGCGCAGAGGCGCUUCUGCGACGAGAGGGUGCCAUCCGCAAGGUCGUCCUCGGGCGUGCGGAAACCGGAAUGUCGUCUGCGCCGCCUCGCGAGGUAGAUGGGCCGAUGGCGCUGAUUGGGGGACUGCGACUGUGGAGCACCUCCGUGUUGCGGACGUCUCUCCGCGUCGUCGCGGAGCUGGUCGCUCGCGACCGGGCGCUGCAGUCGAUCGGCCUGCACGAGAAUGUGUGCUACCUCGAUCUCAAGGAGGGCACCGGCGCCGUCGUCGAGUCGGCGGACAGCCAGAAGCAGUUCCGCGGGGUGCUCUCUGGUAGCGUGCGGUGGGCAGCAGAGCCACUGCCGCUCGGCUUCUACCCGUCGAUUGAACUCAACUCCGGCGGCGUGCUCGACGGAGUGACGGCGCCACUGGCGAGCAGCAUCCGCGUGCCGCGAGUCGCCAUGGCUGCCUUUGUCGACUCGCUCUCCUCCUUCUACUACGAGCGCUUCGGUGGCGAUGUGCUGUGGUCGCUGCUGACGUUAGCGGCGCGCUACGCGACAGUGACUGCGCUGGAAGUUGGCACGAGCCCUGCCUACGCCCUGCACUGCCUCGCAGACACAUCCGUGACCUCCUCCGCCUCCGCCAUUGCUGCGCGAAGUGCCAUGGCCUUCGAUCCUCGCCAAGUGCUCGACCCGGCUCAGAAGGUGCCGCAUCAGUUGAACCGCCUGUUCCAGCUCCACGACAGCGGCUACCUGCCCAACGCGCACGAGCGCCUCAUACACGCCGUCGUGCAGCGCCUAGUGGCCGUGCUGGCGGCGGCGGUGCCGGAGGAGGAAGAGAAGACAGACAAGUCCUCGGUGGUCGCCAGGGUCGUUGGCGGCUCCGGCGCGACGGCAGCGCCAGCUGCAUCACAGCUGUGCGGGCUCGUCGCCGACACGGCCUACGUGCUGCGACAGUUGCGAAGAGAUGACGGUGAGAUCUUCGUGAUUGAGGUGCCGCCGCCAGGCCAGGCGGCCUCCGCUUCUGCUGCUAUUACUCAACCCGUCGUUCUCCCGCUCGCCUUCACCAAUGGCGGCGCUGGUGUGCUGACCUUUGACGCGAAGUACCGCAACAUGGAGCAGGCCACCGUGUACAAGGACGUGGAGCUGAAGAGCGUCAUUGCCAAGUACCCGGACGGGCAGGGUGGCUGGCCAUUGUGCACCUUGACGGCCACGGAGACCCCCUGGGCGUUCCUGCGCAGCGUGCCUACCUCCACAUCUCAUCGGCUGGCGGCGGACGGCAAGCCCUGCAGCCCUGGCAGCAUGCCCUCCUCCUCGAUCGUCACCGUUACAACCAAGUCGCUCAAGCCCGCCAUUCUGCACGCGAUGGUGAAGGCGGUGUGUGACGCCCUGCGCAGCCUCGCUGGCGCGAGCGGCCAGGGCCAUCGGCGCGGUAACGGCAGCGCCGGCUCCUCCAUUGCCGAGCGCGCAGCCGCGUGUCUGCUCGAUGCCCGCGUCGUGGUCUCCCUCAUUCAGCAGAGCAGCGCCCGCUCGAGCGAGGACGACUGCGUGCACUUUGUGCAUAUCCUGACGGCGAUGAUGCGGCUCUGGCGGGACAUGCCAGAGGUGCAGCCGUACGACCAAGUGCCCCUCGCCAUGGCGAUGUCACACCUGAACACCCCGCUCUGCAGCAUCAUCCAGCACGUGAACAGCGACUCCGACAUUGGUUCUUUUGUGUCGUUGUCAACUGGCACCUACAGCCCGUACGUUCAGAGCCUGCUGGGGUUGCUGGUGAGCGCCGUGCACGCCGACUGCGCCUGGACCGGCCGAAGCUACGUGGAGCAACUCCAGGGCCGCUGGCGCCGUCUGUGGGGGAUGUGGCAGCGCGCCGUCGUGUACCGGCCAUCGCAGUUGGCCGAUGCGAAGAGGAGGAGGCACAAAAGCGCCGCUUGUGCCGGCAGCACAGGCAAGGGCGUGCAAACCGCGCUUCCGAAUGGCGGGAGACGCGAUGGGGCCGCCGAGGAGGGGGCGACCGCUACCACCGCAGGCAGCAGCGCCUUUCGCGCUCUCUUCUUGGCGCCUCACUCGUCGAGCUCGAACCGCUACCAGCUGCAGGGAGCCACGCCAAACAUGGAGAUGCCACACGUGGACUCGCUCGACGCCUCGGUGGCGAUCGCAGGGUCGUCGACGACCGGGCAUGGAACCACGGAAAGCCCGGAGCCGGAGCCGAGCGACGGCAGCCACGCGGGUGAGGAGGGCCCUCUCAACGGCGGCAGUAGCGCCUCCACCGCGGCGGCGAGCAGCGGUGAUAGGUCGCAAGCACCGCCGCUUGUGGUGGAGCUGGUCUCCAUGCAGCCAGCAUCAACUGGGCCAGCGGGCAUCAGAUCUUCGUCGCCCUUUUCCUCGGCGACGGAGAGCCACGACCAGCACCCGCAACCAACGCAAAAAUACCCUCGCAGACCGUAUCCAAGCGGCGUGUCACGCAAGGGCAACGGGCUCUGGGUGGUGCGCGCCACCUGCGCGGGUAAGGAGCAUGGCGAAGAGCAGAACCCGUUCGCAGCGCGCGACGGAGCCGCACGCAGUGUAACGACCGUGCGUAGCACUGUCGGCUUGACAACCGGCAUGUUCUACUGGGAGGUCUACGUGGCGAACAUUAGCCGCGCCGAGCACACCGCUGCCACGCUGGCCGGGGGCAACAAGCUGCCCUCCAACAUCCUCGUUGGAGUUGCGACGGAGCGGUGCGUGCCAACACACAGCAGCAGUAGCGCCACCGGCAGCGGUGCGCACGCAGAGGGGCGAGACGGGUUCCUGGGCAGCGACGGUGAGUCGUGGGGUUUCGACGGAGGCCGUGCCAUGCGGCUCUGCCGUGGCUACGCGGUGGAGUCGAGCCCCCGUACGCGGUGGAAGAUGGACGACGUCAUUGGCUUUGUGCUGGACUUGCGCCAAAACAAGCUGUGCUGCCUGCACAACGGCCGUCUCGUCUCCGAGUUCAGCGAUACCUUCCUCUCGGAAGAGCAGCGCGCCGCGCGGGUCGCCGUCUUCCCCGUCAUCACGUGCACAGGGGAGGCCAGCUGCGAGGUAAACUUUGGCGCCACGGGUUUCGCCAGCACGCCGCCGCCGGGGUGUCUCCCGGUGGACUUGUCUAUCUACAUCAACGAGGAGGCGUGCCGGGUGUGGAAGGUGGUUCUGGCGGAUGAGGUCAGCGCACCCCUUGCCUCGGCCACCGUAGCAGCCGCGACCCGCGCUGGACAGCCUGCCCGUCUUCUUCUUCCCAGCCCUGUCAUUCCGCUGGUGGGCCAGCACCUGACACGCUUCACGCAGGGUCGCCAAGGCCCGCUGGAUGUCGUCCUCCUGUCCUCGGACUCCAACGCGAAGCUCGUCACGUCGCGUGAGUGCAAGACGGACGACGCGGCGAGCCUUCUCUUCGGCAGCGUGGCCGUCACAUCGGGCCGCUGGUACUUCGAGGUGGUGCUGCCGACGGAACCGACUUUCAGCGUCGGCUGGCACGCGUGCAAGUCGCUUGAGGAGCAGGGCAGUGGUGGGAGAGGAGGCGCCGGCCUGGCGGGGCUCAUCGGCAGCGCCGGUGGCGGCGCUCCCGGCGGUUCAGCGAGCAACAGGGAUGCGGCCAUCGCCUCCCCAACCUCGCCGAGUCGCGUGCAGCUCUGGGGCGACGGGCCUUCGUGGGUUUUCGAUGCCGGCCGCAUGAUCGCACGGCACAACAAGCACCAGGUCAGCCUUGCCCGUCGUGUAUGGAAGUGCGGCGACGUCGUCGGGUGCCUGCUUGACUGCGAGGCCGGCACAGUGAGCUUCAGCGUCAACGGCGAGUUCCUGAAGGCGGCACACGGGAGCGGCGCCGUCGGGGGUGGUGGGCGGGGAGGUGGCAAUGUCGCUGGGCUGAGUGGCACGCGCGGCAACUCGGAGCCCUUCGAAGCCACUGCCGCUGCAUCCGCGACUUCCACCCAAGACGCAACUGCGACGGCGCUCUUCCGCGAUGUGUGCAUGAGCGAGACGCACGGGCUGGUGCCGGCCAUUCUUCUGGAGCCCAAGUCGUCGCUCGUGUGUCUGUGGAACGAAGAGGAGCUUCUCUUUCCACCGACGAAUGGUGGCGACUUCCGGGCACUUGGAGGUGCCAGCGCGGUACACGACGCGUUGGUGGAGAUGAUCGUCGUGCCCGAUGGUGAGGCCGCCGCCCGUUUUCGCAUGCACCCACUCCACGACAGGGGGGACGCCGCCAGGCAGCCGAGAAAGGAGGAGAGGCUAUACAAGCCGGUGGACGCCGUGGCGCUGCAGAAGCUGCUUUACUACGCGAGUAAGGUGCAAGAGCUGCACCCCACCAGCCUGCGCAGCUACACGAUGCCGUCCCUCUACGGUGUUCACGGUGCAGCGCAGAGCCUUGAAAACCCAAACGCAUCGGUUGCGCCUCCUCGCGACCUGGAUGUCAACGCCGUCACGCCGAGCCGCGCCGUCUCGCAGAGGCAUCAGCAGCGCGACCUCUGCACUGCCAGCGGCCUCGACGCGGCCACGCUGCAACCGCACCUGAUGGCCCUGCUUCUCUUUGGGCACCUCUCCACCCUCCUCUACCCAUUCGCCCACCCUGCCGCUCUGCCGGUGACAGUCGAAAACGCGCCGUUGGGCAGCAGCUGGGCCUUCAGCGAGCUGCAGGAGACGCUGCGGGCGUGCCAGCGGUAUGCCCCGCCGUGGGCGUCGCUGCGAGCGCUGCAGUGGUCGCUGGACGCCUCGAACGGUGCGGGCAACGCGGUGCGACUCAGCGUGAACCGGCGCAAGGCACUGACAGUGGUGCGGGACAGCACCGCCUCCGCCGUGCGCCGGCUUCGCGACAGCCUUUUCGGCCAGGUGUACCAGCUGCUCGCCAGCAAGCCUCCUGAGUUCUUCAUCACGAGCAAGAAGCUGUGGACCGUCUCCUUCUAUGGCGAAGGCGCCGAUGACGUUGGCGGCCCAUAUCGCGAGUGCCUCACGCAGAUGUCUGCGGAGCUGAUGAGUACCUCCCUCGCCCUCUUCUUGCCCAGCGCCAACAUGGCCAGCGAACUUGGGGAGGUGCGGGACAGCUACGUCGUCAACCCGCUCUGCGCGCCACCGCUGGAGCUGCACAUGUACCGCUUUAUAGGGCGACUGAUGGGCGGCUGCCUGCGUGGUGGAGAGCCGCUUUCGCUCUACCUGUCCAGCGCACUCUGGAAGUACCUGGUGGGGGAGGCGGCGGACGACACAGACAUGGCCCGCAUUGACAUGGCCACGCUGAACGCGCUCGGCUAUGUGGAGCAGCUGGCUGGUUUUCCGUCGCCGAGGGGGGCUCUCGGAGGCAGCGGCGACGGCGACGACGCCGUGCGUGACGAGGAGCUCGCCGAGCUCUGCCCUCGCGGGUUUUCGCUUCUGAAUGACGCCGGCGUAGUGGAAGAGCUCGUGCCGGGCGGGGAGCAGAUCCCGGUCACGGUCGCCAGCGCCGACCUCUACACACGCCUUGUGCGAGAGCAUAAGCUGUACCGCACAGGGGCGGCGCAGCUCCGCGCGCUGCAGCAGGGCUUCCACGAGGUGGUGCCGCUGUGCAGCGUAUCGGGGCUCAAGUGGUACGAACUGGAGGAGCUCGUGUGCGGGCAGUGCGACUACGACCCGGAUGCGCUGCUGGACGCGGCCCGGUACGAAGGGCUGUCCCCCACCGACGUCCGCGUUAGGUUUCUCCGUAGCGUCCUCCGCGGAUUCACGCGGCACCAGCGCGCCCUCUUCAUGCGCUUCGUCAGCGGGCGAGAGCGCCUGCCGCCCGGGAUGCAUCUGAAGAUCAUGCCAGACGACGCGCCACGUGUGGCGCCCAUCCCACCUAUAACGCCGGACCGAGCAGCACCGUCGCUGCAGUCUGCCUCUCCACAUCGUCGGCAACGCGUGGUCACUUCCCCUUCGCACGACACGACAACGGCAGUGAUGACGCCGCAGCCGCCGCCGAGCAGCGAACAGCGGUGCGGCACCUCUUUUGUGCGCCACAACACGCUCGCGCAGAGCCGCCCCAGCAGCAACACCGGAAGCAAUACACUGCCGCCGUCACCGCCGCAGCUCGGCUUCACGCCUCCUCCACCCCAGGCGGUGUCGCGCAUGGUGCCGCCGCCUGCCCUGCAGCCAGGUCAACUACAGCCGGUCCGGGGCAGCGGCAGCGGGGGGCAGUCUCACGCGCCAGCCUCACUGCUCUCGCCGCUCGGCAUGCAGGAGCGAUGCCGACAGCAGGAGUCGAAGGGUGGCGACGGGAUGGUCGAGGACGGCGUUGACUUCUCCCUCUGUGACGACACGCGCUUGCCGCAAGCCUCGACGUGCUUCUACUGGCUGCGUCUGCCCUGCUACAGCUCCACGUCGGUCAUGGCGCAGAAGCUUCUGUUUGCGAUUGAGCAGUGUGUCGAUAUUGAUGCGGACUUCCGCGUGCACGACACGGACGUGGCGCAGCAAGAAGUCGGGCCCAGCCUGGCCCGCGUCAGCAGCGACGAGGACGACCUCUUCGAGGACUUCUCUCAUCUCCGGUGAGGCGUAACGGUGCGGAUCAGCUGCCACGUAUGUGGAGGGAUGGUGGUGGUGGUGGUGGGGGGGGGGAAUGCUUGUCUGUUCAGCCGCCCCACCUCUGGCAGAGGAGCCGUGGGGCGUCGGCGAGCGAUGAGCCGCCGGAUGUGGUCCCCCUCUCUCUCCAUGAAGUGGCGGCACCUUUGCCACUUUGGCUGCCCUCGGCCCCCCCCCCGCCGUCGCCCUGCCGCUCGCGUGUAUCCAAGGAUGUAGAGUUUUCAUUCAUGUGUGUGUGGGGGUGUGGGUGUGGGUGUGCGUGGUUUUUCCGAUUGUGUCGCGCACCAGAAUCACGCGCACUCGCCAUCCGCCAUUGCGUGCACGAGAAGCAUGAAGAGAGAAGAGACGGCCGUGUUGCUUGCAUGACGCUGCCUCGCAUCCCGCACCCUUCUCACGAAACAAACGACGUUAAACACAACCCUAGAGGACAGGACGCGGCUGAAGUGCCUGGCGCCCUCUCCUCCACCUUCCCCUACUCCCUUCUUAUCCCACAUCAUCCGCAGCAUCUUCAUGCUCCUUUCGUUUGUACCCCUAUCCCAUUACACG